rnacentral:lncRNA from 1 species
ACUUGUUACGCAAACCCAAAGUGCUCUAGAAUAUGUAAUUAUUUUCCAGUCAUAAACAUGCCAAGUAUGGGAGCAAGAAGAGACGGUAGUAGCAGACCCAACGCUGUCUGAAACGCAUAAGAAGCAAAGCAUGGCAGGGACAAAAGCAAGCCACCAGAUGAAAUGCACAAACUCACAGAUAAUCAAGGAGGCAUACCACAUGCAUGGUGAAAAAUAAACAUCACCAAAUGAUUCUACCAUUAGGAAGCAAAGGUGUGAAGUGAACUCCUUUCAAUUAAGCACAAAAAAUAUGUCCACCCAAGACUAAUCCCACCAAAGAUGACACAGACACUAAGUGCAUUGGAAGUAUAAGAAGAUCAGUUUAUUUGAGACAUGAAUUGUAUUUAUUAUUUUUUUUUUUAAUUUGGUGGCUUACUUUAUUUAGCUUUCGACAUGAUCCAUGUAACGGAUGGUCAAUCAGUGUGCUCACGUCAGAUGACUGGAAGCAACUGGGUGAUAAAGCACCCCUGGGGAAAUACUGAUCCGAAUCAUGAAGGCUCCAAAGAUAAGCAAGGAUGGCAAACCAUCACAACUUGUUGACUCGAACCUCGACGUUGGUUGGACAAGAGGCCCG